AGUGAUGUUACAUUAUGUUUGCUACUCUACAUGUUGAUGUCGGAGACAUAUAUGAGUUGCUUGAAGGAAUGAACAUGUCAUAAAUAAGUGCCAAGUGAGUAGUUGAGCCUAUCAUUUUCUUGGAGAGUAACCCUUUUGCCCAUUCUCUAUACAGCUUAGCAGUUUAUUAUUUUAUACACGAUCUCUAGAUUUCUUUUAAGUUAACCCUUUAAAAAAAAAUAUGGUAAAAUUAAAAAAAAAAAAAAGAAAAAAGAAAAAAAUGUGUGUUGCUACAUUGGGAGGCCCAUCUAACUAGUAGAUAUGGAUAAUUAUUUAGAGCCCUAAAAGACGAUGGAAAGGCCAUCUUUGAUCCGUUUGAGCCUUUCUAGCCAUCCCUGUUAUUAAAUAUCCAUAGUUACCCCUUUUGAGCCUUUAAAAAAAAAAAAAAAA
rnacentral:lncRNA from 1 species